rnacentral:rRNA from 1 species
AUGGAGAAGGUGGAAGGUCUGCUGCAGAGUUUGAAGUUGUCCGACAAGGAGAAGAAAAGCUUCAAGAUCGGAUGGAAGGGAGCGGGGAAGUUGGGGGUUGUGGAACCGCAGGCUCUAGCGAAGCUUUUGUCGGAGAAACCAGUUUUCAUGGAUGCUAUGGCAGAGACUCUUGGCCGGAUCUGGUGUCCAAUUAAGGGCCUGGAGUGUAAGGAGAUGGGUGACAAUAUGUUCAUGUUUACUUUUGGCCAGGAAUCGGGGAAGAGAAUGGCCCUGGAGGGUGGGCCGUGGGAGUUUGGUAACGAUCUGCUAGUUCUUGAAGAUUUUGAUCCAAAGAAGCGUCUGGAGGACUGCCAAUUUGAUACAAUUCCAGUCUGGGUGAGGAUCUUGCGCCUCCCGCUUGGGAUGAUGAAUAGAGAGGUUGGGGAAGAGUUAGGUUCAGAGAUUGGGGAAGUUGUGGAAGUUGAAGCUCGGGCGGAUGGGCGUGCAGUGGGGAAGUUUUUGCGGGUGAAGGUUAAACUGAAUAUCUUACUGCCUUUGAUGAGGGGGUUCACCUUGGAUGAUGAGGAGGGGGUGGACGGGACUACUACCAGUUCUGGAGAGAUGGGCAUGGUUGAGGUGGGCAAGGAGAGGAAGAUUUGGUGCCCUUUGGAGUAUGAGUAUCUACCGGAUUUUUGCUAUGUAUGUGGUAUAAUUGGUCAUAUUGACAAGGCGUGUUCUAAGAAGCUGAAAAAGGGGGAGAAGCCCCAAUUUGGUUCAUGGCUCAGAGCCUAUAUUCCGAGGCGAUAUGUGGAGGAUAGAGGUAAAUACAUGGGGUCCAGAACUUUUUUUGGUGGCCGUGGUUCAGGUAGCUGGAGGGAGAGUGCUCGCCUUGGCAAAUCAGUCUCUGCUAGUGAUGUACCUUCAUGGAGGAAAGAGAAGGGGGAUAUUGUUGCGGAUAAAGAGAAAGGUCAGUGA